CAGUGGACGCUCCAGCGGCUUCUUCAAGCUGCGCAUGCGAGAAGAAAGCACACCGAAAAAGGGCCAGCCACUACGUCAUACGUCCCUCCCCUUACGCACACUUCCUUCGCGUCAUUCGGCCUCCGCAGCUGCAGUGGCAUUCCCCGCUGCCAACCCUCCCCUCUCCUUCCUUUCAUCUCUCCUUUGUAGCCACGUGGAUCGCGCACACCGCAUCGACGGCGCGUCCAUCCCCUCGCCCCUCUUCUCCCUCACUCUAAUUACCCUAGACAACCUCCUUGAUUUAUUUCUUUGGUCUUCUCGUCGCGUGCCCUUUCUUGAAGGUCUGGCCGUGGUCUGUAGCCACCCCACAACGACGACGACGACCACCGCCACCCGCCAUCGCCUCAAGCACUGCCUCAGUGCGUUUCUCCUUGCUUGUCAUCGGUUGUCCGUCUCGGAUAUCUGUGCCGGUGUGCUCUGCUGGCCUUUGACACUUCCUUCGUUGUACCUCCCCACACCCACCCACACCCACCUUCCCUCCCUCUUGGUCUUACCUUCUUUACUAGACUUGUUUCACGUCCCUCCUCUUCGAUCAUCAUCAUCAGCUGAUUGCCCUCCACUCAUCUCGUCCGCGAGUCGACCUCCACGCCCUCUUCUGCCACGGCACUUGCCGGGCGGUGCAGCUUCGAUAGGAGGAAGGGGGAGCACACACUACACACGACGCACACAUCUCCCGUCUGGUUCGCCUCUUCGUUUCGUCUGUAGUGGCAAUCGCCCUCCCUCACCCGUGCCUCCCUCUCCCUCUUUCGCUCGCCAUCACCACUGCUCUAAGUCUGCGCGCGUUUGUCCAUCUGUCCUUGCCAUCCGACGAAAUUCUCCGCCGUUGUUUGUUUUACGCGCACGCCUCGGUGUUUUUGGUUUUUUUGUUGUUGUUAGUUAAAUCCGAUCCUAUCCUCCUUCUCCCCUCCUCCCCUCCCUCUCUCUCUGAUUCUCACGACUUCUCCGGCACAUACACACGCACGAUCAGUGUCCUCCUCCUCCGACAGCCUAUCGCCAUUCUUCGCAGGAGCGGUCUCGCUGCAGCCCCUCUCCCGCUCCAAGCACAUACAGUGAGGGAUGCUUCGGCGCACCGGUUGCUGUCUAGCCCUCUUUAGCAGCGCAGGCGGGUCGGCUCCGCGGUCGAAGCGGCCGCACUCGAGUAGCGGAGCGGACGCUUCGGCCUCGGAAGAAGCUGCGGCGGCGGCUGGCGUGUAUCUUCCAUGGACGGCGCGGCCGUGGGCAGUGACGUACCGUGUGCACUACUCGCAGUGGAAAUUUGUGGACACGGUGUUUGCGCACCUCGCCACUGUGACUCCAGCCGUGUUGAACGAUCGUGCCGAGGAGCAGGGCGUGCGUGACGUUCUCUGUGAGCUGGAGGAACCCGUGGUAGCGCUGCGACGCCAGCAGGCACGGCAGGCGCGACAGCUGAAGAAGCAGGAGAAGCCGUCAGCAGCCAGUGCGACAAGCUCUCCAUCGCAGUUGCUCGCCUCCGCUUUACAGUGCACGGCUACCACCGCUCAAGCGUCCCCCUCCGGCACAGCGCCGAGUGACAUGACCGCAGACGGCGCAGCAACAGCGGAAGCAGCGUGUGCGCUGGAGCCACUGGCCAACAGAGCCGAUGUGGCGGCGACACAAGAGGCAGUUGACAGCAACAUCACGCUACUCGAUGCCAGCAAGAAGGGCAGUCGGAAGAGCAAGAGGGCCAGUCGCAAAUCUGCCACUUCUGCUGUCGUCAUCUACGAGCUGUAACGCGUCUGGCACGGGCCACGACGUUGUGUAAGGUGCUCCUGUCUCCGUGGUACUUUCCUUUUUCUCUUGCGUCUUAGACUUUGCCCAUCAUCCGUCCCUCUCCCUCUCUCUUCCUCUGUGUGUAUCCGUCCGUGUCCGUGUGUGCCGGGAAGGAAAAGGAUUCGGCCUGCGCCCGGCGUCGUGUUGCUCUUGACGUGAAGGCUUCGCUUUCGCUUUCUGUGGAGGCUGUCCUUUUAUGUAGGGAACGGUGGUGGUGGUGCCACCCCUCGUCCUCUCUUCCCUCUGCUGCUGAUGUGUUGUGCUCGUCGUUGUUGUUGCUCGCUCGCUGUUGUUCUGCCCGUCGUCGCC
rnacentral:misc_RNA from 1 species